UACGGGGGGGGCAGGCGUUGUUCGGAAUUACUGGGCGUAAAGGGCGCGUAGGCGGCCUUCUAAGUCAGACGUGAAAUCCCUCGGCUCAACCGAGGAACUGCGUCUGAUACUGGAAGGCUUGAAUCCGGGAGAGGGAUGUGGAAUUCCAGGUGUAGCGGUGAAAUGCGUAGAUAUCUGGAGGAACACCGGUGGCGAAGGCGGCAUCCUGGACCGGUAUUGACGCUGAGGCGCGAAAGCUAGGGGAGCAAACAGG
rnacentral:rRNA from 1 species